ACGAACGCUGGCGGCAUGCCUAACACCUGCAAGUCGAACGAGACCUUCGGGUCUAGUGGCGCACGGGUGCGUAACGCGUGGGAACCUGCCCUUAGGUUCGGAAUAACUCCCCGAAAGGGGUGCUAAUACCGGAUAAUGUCUUCGGACUAAAGAUUUAUCGCCUUUGGAUGGGCCCGCGUUGGAUUAGCUAGUUGGUAGGGUAAAAGCCUACCAAGGCGACGAUCCAUAGCUGGUCUGAGAGGAUGAUCAGCCACACUGGGACUGAGACACGGCCCAGACUCCUACGGGAGGCAGCAGUGGGGAAUAUUGGACAAUGGGCGAAAGCCUGAUCCAGCAAUGCCGCGUGAGUGAUGAAGGCCUUAGGGUUGUAAAGCUCUUUUACCCGGGAUGAUAAUGACAGUACCGGGAGAAUAAGCUCCGGCUAACUCCGUG
rnacentral:rRNA from 1 species